GACGAACGCUGGCGGCGUGCUCAACACAUGCAAGUCGAACGAUGAAGCUGGAGCUUGCUCCGGUGGAUUAGUGGCGAACGGGUGAGUAACACGUGAGCAAUCUGCCCUUGACUCUGGGAUAACUGCGGGAAACUGUAGCUAAUACCGGAUAUGAGAUCUGAAGGCAUCUUCGGGUUUGGAAAGAAUUUCGGUCAAGGAUGAGCUCGCGGCCUAUCAGCUAGUUGGUGAGGUAAUGGCUCACCAAGGCGACGACGGGUAGCCGGCCUGAGAGGGUGACCGGCCACACUGGAACUGAGACACGGUCCAGACUCCUACGGGAGGCAGCAGUGGGGAAUAUUGCACAAUGGGCGAAAGCCUGAUGCAGCAACGCCGCGUGAGGGAUGAAGGCCUUCGGGUUGUAAACCUCUUUUAGCAGGGAAGAAGCGAAAGUGACGGUACCUGCAGAAAAAGCACCGGCUAACUACGUGCCAGCAGCCGCCGCCG
rnacentral:rRNA from 1 species